CAAGACAGCCUCCUUGAUUGCUGCCAGUACCAAAGGGGCUGCAAUUUUUAGCGGUGCUGACCACAGCAUCACUGAGAAAAUGUAUGAAUAUGGAAAGAACCUUGGUCUUUCCUUCCAAGUUGUGGAUGACAUUUUGGAUUUCACUCAAUCGGCGGAGCAACUGGGAAAGCCUGCUGGCACUGACCUUGCCAAAGGUAACCUCACUGCACCUGUAAUUUUCGCAUUGGAAAAAGAACCAAAAUUGAGGGAUAUCAUUGAGUCUGAGUUUAGUGAGACUGGUUCCCUUGAUGAGGCCAUCACCUUGGUCAAGAGUUGUGGAGGCAUUGAAAGAGCACAAGAGUUGGCAAAAGAGAAAGCUGAUCUUGCUAUUCAGAGUCUCCAAUGC
rnacentral:lncRNA from 1 species